UCAGCGGGACAUUGCAGAAGCGGCUCUAAGUGACUGACAGUCUGCGCUUCCUGCAACAUGGAGCUUUCCAAAGUGUUUCUCUCCGUCUCCUGUCGGUGUCUGGCUCUGAUCCUGCUCCCGGUCCCGGGAAAGGAGGUGCAGAAGCUCACGGAAACUACUCCUCCAGCUGCUGCGGAAUGUUGCUGCUGUUCCAGGUCAGUGCUGUGACUGCUAGAACACUUCAGCAAUGAUCAAAGGCUGGCGGAUGGUGUGGAAUCAGGAAUUCAUCUUGCUCUCAGGUGCUGUGUGGACUCCCAAGUGGAACCAUUGAGACAGUGGGCACCGUAGGUUCAGAUCUGAACACUGAGAAACAAUCGGUGACUCGCCUGUCCUAGUUUCUGGGUUCACUGGGGAGUAGCUUGUGCUGCCCUGUACCUGGAAACGGAAUUUACAGGUAAUCUGGAGGGCACCUAAGAAGAAAAUUGUCCAAAAAUUUCUCAAUGGGAAAGAUGAGUUGAGAGAACAAGACCCACAGUUCAGAAACCAAAUGGAUGAAGGGUCUGGGCCUGAAACAUCAGCUUUUGUGCUCCUGAGAUGCUGCUUGGCCUGCUGUGUUCAUCCAGCUCCACACUUUGUUAUCUCAGAAAUAAAAUAAGCCUGUUCAAAGAUCAACUGUUACAAGGCACCUGGUCAGCUGUGAUCUCUGGCCGCAUGAAAUCAGACCAUGAGGAAUAUAUUAGAGACAAACAAAACUGCAGAUGCUGGAAUCCAAAGUUGACAAACAAGACGCUUGAAGAACACGGCAGAUCUGGAGGCAACGAAGAGUCAACGUUUUGCAUAAUACCCUUGUUCAACAUGUCAGAUUUCUGAGAGAACGAAUCAACAUGUUAAUCUUUCUGUAACAGGGGCACGCCUCCCAGAAACUACUCCCGUUGGUGAAUGCUGUUACAGUACCUACUGAAGCACCAGCAAAUAUAAUGAUGAAUAAAUGUGUGACCAAGGAUCAGAGGCCAGUCCUUAAAUGUGGAUUAACCGAGAUAGUUUGCAAUGGCUCAAGUUGCACUGCGAAUUAUAGGGCAUAUUUUAAUCAGUCCAGUUGCUGGUAUGUGUGCAUUGCAGAUGUUCAAUAUCUGAAAGACUCAUCUAAAGGUGAUCUUAUUCUUGAAUUUGGGAACAUGGAGUCCUCAGAAGCGUUAUUCCUCCGGUUCAGGACAGAUCAUGGAAACAACCUCGACAAAAGAUGGGGUCAUAUUGAAAAAUGGAAUGGCGAACCUGUUCGGGUGAAGUGUGGAGCCGUGUCAACAGCGCCUAAGCAUCAGGAUGGAGUGACUGGAGGACAAAACCUUCUGGGGAAUGGGGCUGUCCAGCACUAACUGAGUUUCCACUGUACUGAGCCUGGGACAGGGAUGGUGGGAAAUCAGCCUAAUUUUGUGGUAAUCGAGUGAUUCCUGUUGGAAAGUUUUGAGACAUGGUCAGUAAGGUGAUAUCAAAUGGGAUCCAGGGAGAGAGAGCCUAUUGGAGACAAAACUGACAUGAUGUUGCAAAUCAGAGGCUGGUGGCAGACGGUUGUUAGGACUGGAGGCCAAUGACCAGUGGUGUGCUGCGAAGAUGGGUUCUGGGACAACUGUUGUUUGUCACUUGUAUCAAUAGCUUCAAUGAGAACAUGGUUAGUAACUUUGCUAUUGACAGCAAAAUUGGUAGUAGAGGGGGACAGUGAAGUAGGCUAAGAGAACAAUGAGACGUUACCCAGAUGGGCCAGUGGGCUGGGGAGUGGCAGGCGAAUUUUAAUUUAGAUAAGUGUGAGGCAUUGCUUUUGGUUGGAGAAGCCAGGGUAGUUAAUGGGAAAGCCCUGGGAGUGUUGCUGAACAGGGGGAUCUAGGGGUUUCAAGUUGAUAGUUCUUUGAAAGCGGCCUUGCAGAUAGCCACGGUGGUGAAGAAGGCAUGUGGCUUGCCUUCGUUGGUCAGAACAUUGAGCAUUGGAGUUGGAGGUCAUCUUGCGGCUGUACAAUCACUGGUUAGGCCACUUAUACACUAUCGCGUACAAUUCUGUUGCAAGGAUGUUGUUAAGCUAGAAAGGGUGCAGAAAAAGAAAUUACAAGAAUACUGCUGAGGCUGGGUGGUGGGGGGAGAGGUUUGCAUCGUAGCGAGAGGCUGAAUAAACUGGACUGUUUUACCCUGGAUUGUUGGAGGUGGAGGCGUGACUUUACCGAGGUUUAUAAAAUCAUGAGGCAUAGCUAGGUUGAAUAGCCAAGGUCUUUUCCCCAGGGUAGGGGAGUUCAAAACUAGCAGGCGUAGGUUUAUGAUGACGGGAAGGAUUUGAAAGGGAUCUGAGAGGCAACUUUUUCCCCACUGAGGAUGGUGUGUCUGGAAUGAGCUGCCAGGGGAAGUGGUGGAGGUGGGUACAGUUAGAAUAUUCCAAAAGACAUUUGGACAGGUACAUGGCUAAGAAAGGUUGAGCGGGGUAUGGGCCAAACUCAGGCAAAUGGGACCACUUUCAAUAUAGGAUAUCUGAACAGCAUGGAAGAGUUGGGCUGAAGGGUCUGUUUGUGUUGUUUGACUCUAGCUGUGAUUAAAGAGAAAAGCUGGUCCCAUUUUUCAAGAGUACAUUCAUGUCUAAUGACUCUGCUGGUCACUGCAUGAACAGAGGAGCUGCUGUCUACAAGCAGCAAGUCCAUGGAGUGAACUGAA